rnacentral:rRNA from 1 species
GACGAACGCUGGCGGCGUGCUUAACACAUGCAAGUCGAACGGAAAGGCCCUGCUUUUGUGGGGUGCUCGAGUGGCGAACGGGUGAGUAACACGUGAGUAACCUGCCCUUGACUUUGGGAUAACUUCAGGAAACUGGGGCUAAUACCGGAUAGGAGCUCCUGCUGCAUGGUGGGGGUUGGAAAGUUUCGGCGGUUGGGGAUGGACUCGCGGCUUAUCAGCUUGUUGGUGGGGUAGUGGCUUACCAAGGCUUUGACGGGUAGCCGGCCUGAGAGGGUGACCGGCCACAUUGGGACUGAGAUACGGGCCAGACUCCUACGGGAGGCAGCAGUGGGGAAUAUUGCACAAUGGGCGGAAGCCUGAUGCAGCAACGCCGCGUGCGGGAUGACGGCCUUCGGGUUGUAAACCGCUUUCGCCUGUGGCGAAGCGUGAGUGACGGUAAUGGGUAAAGAAGCACCGGCUAACUACGUG